rnacentral:rRNA from 1 species
AGAGUUUGAUCCUGGCUCAGGACGAACGCUGGCGGCGUGGAUUAGGCAUGCAAGUCGAACGGUAGAUACUCCUUCGGGGGUAUUGAGAGUGGCGAACGGGUGAGUAACACGUAGAUGAUCUACCCUCAAAUGGGGGACAACCCAGGGAAACUUGGGCUAAUACCGCAUGAGUGCAGCGCAUAAAUUAUCUUUUGCUGGGUAAUUUAUGCGCUGUAUAAAAGAUGGCUUUCGGGCUGUCGUUUGGGGAUGAGUCUGCGUCCUAUUAGUUAGUUGGUGAGGUAAUGGCUCACCAAGGCGAUGAUAGGUAGGCGGCCUUAACGGGUGGCCGCCCACACUGGGAUUGAGAUACGGCCCAGACUCCUACGGGAGGCAGCAGUCGAGAAUAGUCUACAAUGGACGAAAGUCUGAUAGUGCGACGCCGCGUGAACGAAGAAUCCCUUCGGGGUGUAAAGUUCUUUUAUAUGUGAGCAAUGCUUUUUAUGUGAAUAGCAUGAGAAGAGAGAUAUUAGCAUAUGAAUAAGCAACGGCUAACUCCGUGCCAGCAGCCGCGGUAACACGGGGGUUGCAAGCGUUGUCCGGAAUUACUAGGCGUAAAGGGCAGGUAGGCGGAUCCAUAAGUUUGAUGUUAAAGGCAGCGGCUCACCCGCUGUACGGCGUCAGAUACUGUGGAUCUGGAAUGCGGUUGGGGAAGACAGAAUUCCUGGUGUAGCGGUGGAAUGCGCAGAGAUCAGGAGGAAUACCAAAGGCGAAGGCAGUCUUCUAAGCCGUUAUUGACGCUAAACUGCGAAGGUGUGGGUAUCAAACAGGAUUAGAUACCCUGGUAGUCCACACAGUAAACGAUAAUCACUAGGUGUCGGGUUCGUAGAGAAUUCGGUGCCGUAGCUAACGCGAUAAGUGAUUCGCCUGGGGAGUACGAUCGCAAGGUUGAAACUCAAAGGAAUUGACGGGGGCCCGCACAAGCGGUGGAGCAUGUGGUUUAAUUCGAAGCAACGCGAAGAACCUUACCAGGUCUUGACAUCUGCUCAAUUUGGCGGAAAUGCCGAAGUGCCCUUCGGGGAAGAGCAAGACAGGUGGUGCAUGGUUGUCGUCAGCUCGUGUCGUGAGAUGUUGGGUUAA